ACUAUAAAUACCACAGGCUACAAGCACAAGCAGCACCAGAGUCUCCUCUCCGACAUGUUAACAGUUAUGAGACGAAUGUCCUGCUCAAGUUGGAUUCACAACAUCCUAAGUGGAAGGUUUCUGGAAGCUGCAAGUUCACCGUUUGUGACAUUUCUGUGGACAUUUUGAAUGGUUCUAAAGCGCAGAGGAGAGAAG